GACGAACGCUGGCGGCGUGCUUAACACAUGCAAGUCGAACGGAAAGGCCCUGCUUUUGUGGGGUGCUCGAGUGGCGAACGGGUGAGUAACACGUGAGUAACCUGCCCUUGACUUUGGGAUAACUUCAGGAAACUGGGGCUAAUACCGGAUAGGAGCUCCUGCUGCAUGGUGGGGGUUGGAAAGUUUCGGCGGUUGGGGAUGGACUCGCGGCUUAUCAGCUUGUUGGUGGGGUAGUGGCUUACCAAGGCUUUGACGGGUAGCCGGCCUGAGAGGGUGACCGGCCACAUUGGGACUGAGAUGCGGCCCAGACUCCUACGGGAGGCAGCAGUGGAGAAUAUUGCACUAUGGGCGGAAGCCUGAUGCAGCAACGCCGCGUGCGGGAUGACGGCCUUCGGGUUGUAAACCGCUUUCGCCUGUGACGAAGCGUGAGUGACGGUAAUGGGUAAAGAAGCACCGGCUAACUACGUG
rnacentral:rRNA from 1 species